ACCUCACAGCAUGAAGCUGACGGGCCAGAAUGAAGGCCACGAAAACUAUCAUCAAACCAGCACAGAAUAUCCUUUAAUUGUGGACCACAUGGGUAUGGUCAAAACCUGCCUCAUGUAGGACAAAGCCAGAGGAAACUGAGAUCAGUCGGACCAGCAGGACUGAGGCUGUGAAAACGGUCAGUGUGCAGCCCCCACAGCCAUUGGCUAUGCCCACCUGUUGUAGUAAAUGUGAUGAGAAAGAAAAACUGACCUAUUGAGUCAUAGACCUGAGGCCCGGCAGAUGGUGGGUGCUUCCUCUUUCUAAAGUGUCAGGCAACCUCAGAGAAAAAAAUUUAUUCUUUAUAUAAAAUGUAAGGAACACGAAGAUGAGGUCAACUGAGUCCACAUCAUGUAAGACAAUGCUCAGAUGUAUAGUCUGCAUAAAAGAAAAGGAAAUGAUUUUCAGAGAACAGGAACAGAAAAGAUCUAGAGAUUUCAUUUAAUAAAACUUGUUUCUAAGCAAC